AUUGAACGCUGGCGGCAGGCCUAACACAUGCAAGUCGAGCGGAUGAGAGGAGCUUGCUCCUUGAUUCAGCGGCGGACGGGUGAGUAAUGCCUAGGAAUCUGCCUGGUAGUGGGGGACAACGUUUCGAAAGGAACGCUAAUACCGCAUACGUCCUACGGGAGAAAGCAGGGGACCUUCGGGCCCUGCGCUAUCAGAUGAGCCUAGGUCGGAUUAGCUAGUAGGUGGGGUAAUGGCCCACCUAGGCGACGAUCCGUAACUGGUCUGAGAGGAUGAUCAGUCACACUGGAACUGAGACACGGUCCAGACUCCUACGGGAGGCAGCAGUGGGGAAUAUUGGACAAUGGGCGAAAGCCUGAUCCAGCCAUGCCGCGUGUGUGAAGAAGGUCUUCGGAUUGUAAAGCACUUUAAGUUGGGAGGAAGGGCAGUUAGUUAAUACCUGACUGUUUUGACGUUACCGACAGAAUAAGCACCGGCUAUCUUCGUGCCAGCCGCCGCCGUAAGAC
rnacentral:rRNA from 1 species